rnacentral:rRNA from 1 species
ACAACAGUUGGAAACGACUGCUAAUACCGCAUAAUGUCUUCGGACCAAAGGAGGGGCUCUUCGGACCUUUCGCUUUCAGAUGUGCCCAAGCGGGAUUAGCUAGAUGGUGGGGUAAUGGCCUACCAUGGCGACGAUCCCUAGCUGGUUUGAGAGGAUGAUCAGCCACACUGGGACUGAGACACGGCCCAGACUCCUACGGGAGGCAGCAGUGGGGAAUAUUGCACAAUGGGCGCAAGCCUGAUGCAGCCAUGCCGCGUGUGUGAAGAAGGCCUUCGGGUUGUAAAGCACUUUCAGUUGUGAGGAAGGUUGUGCGGUUAAUACCCGUAUAAUUUGACGUUAGCAACAGAAGAAGCACCGGCUAACUCCGUGCCAGCAGCCGCGGUAAUACGGAGGGUGCGAGCGUUAAUCGGAAUUACUGGGCGUAAAGCGUACGCAGGCGGCUUUUUAAGCCAGAUGUGAAAUCCCCGGGCUUAACCUGGGAAUGGCAUUUGGAACUGGGAAGC